rnacentral:rRNA from 1 species
GUAUCCUGGCUCAGGAUGAACGCUAGCGACAGGCUUAACACAUGCAAGUCGAGGGGCGAGCAUGAUUGUAGCAUACAGAUUGAUGGCGACCGGCGCACGGGUGAGUAACGCGUAUGCAACUUACCUAUCAGAGGGGGAUAGCCCGGCGAAAGUCGGAUUAAUACCCCAUAAAACAGGGGUCCCGCAUGGGAAUAUUUGUUAAAGAUUCAUCGCUGAUAGAUAGGCAUGNGUU